rnacentral:rRNA from 1 species
UGUGAUGGGGAGCGAAAUUUAGUAGCGAAGUAGCUGAUUUCACACUGUCAAGAAAAGUCUCUAUCGAGGUUAAAGGUACACGUACCGCAAACCGACACAGGUGGGUGAGGAGAGUAUCCUAAGGCCAGCGAGAGAACUGUUGGUAAGGAACUCGGCAAAAUGACCCCGUAACUGAGGGAUAAGGGGUGCCACCAUCAGGUGGCCGCAGAGAAUAGGCCCAAGCGACUGUUUACCAAAAACAUAGGUUUCUGCUAAGUCGCAAGACGAUGUAUAGGAGCUGACGCCUGCCCGGUGCUGGAAGGUUAAGGGGAUCUGUUAGAG